rnacentral:rRNA from 1 species
CCUACGGGAGGCUGCAGUGAGGAAUAUUGGUCAAUGGACGAGAGUCUGAACCAGCCAAGUAGCGUGAAGGAUGACUGCCCUAUGGGUUGUAAACUUCUUUUAUAUGGGAAUAAAAUGUUCCACGUGUGGGAUUUUGUAUGUACCAUAUGAAUAAGGAUCGGCUAACUCCGUGCCAGCAGCCGCGGUAAUACGGAGGAUCCGAGCGUUAUCCGGAUUUAUUGGGUUUAAAGGGAGCGUAGGGGGAUUGUUAAGUCAGUGGUGAAAGUUUGCGGCUCAACCGCAAAAUUGCCGCUGAUACUGGUCGUCGUGAGUACAGUAGAGGUGGGCGGAAUUCGUGGUGUAGCGGUGAAAUGCUUAGAGAUCACGCAGAACUCCGAUUGCGAAGGCAGCUCACUGGACUGCAACUGACACUGAGGCACGAAAGUGUGGGUAGCAAACAGGAUUAGAUACCCGAGUAGUC